UAGAUGAUUGGGGUGAAGUCGUAACAAGGUAUCCGUACCGGAAGGUGCGGAUGGAUCACCUCCUUUCUACGGAG
rnacentral:rRNA from 1 species